GAUGAACGCUGGCGGCGUGCUUAACACAUGCAAGUCGAACGGUGAAGGCGGAGCUUGCUCUGCUGGAUCAGUGGCGAACGGGUGAGUAACACGUGAGCAAUCUGCCCCUGACUCUGGGAUAAGCGCUGGAAACGGCGUCUAAUACUGGAUACGAGCUGCGAAGGCAUCUUCAGCAGCUGGAAAGAACUUCGGUCAGGGAUGAGCUCGCGGCCUAUCAGCUUGUUGGUGAGGUAACGGCUCACCAAGGCGUCGACGGGUAGCCGGCCUGAGAGGGUGACCGGCCACACUGGGACUGCGAGACGGCCCAGACUCCUACGGGAGGCAGCAGUGGGGAAUAUUGCACAAUGGGCGAAAGCCUGAUGCAGCAACGCCGCGUGAGGGACGACGGCCUUCGGGUUGUAAACCUCUUUUAGCAGGGAAGAAGCGAAAGUGACGGUACCUGCAGAAAAAGCGCCGGCUAACUACGUG
rnacentral:rRNA from 1 species